GACCUAACCCCUUUGGUUUUCCAAAGGAUAUGGUUGCAAAUCCGAACCAACGUAAAAACCCCGUCAUCAGGGUCGUUGGUUCGGUUACCUAGGGAAACUUAGGUAGGGAUGAUCGAAAGGUCUC
rnacentral:sRNA from 1 species